AUUGAACGCUGGCGGCAGGCCUAACACAUGCAAGUCGAGCGGAUGACGGGAGCUUGCUCCUUGAUUCAGCGGCGGACGGGUGAGUAAUGCCUAGGAAUCUGCCUGGUAGUGGGGGACAACGUUUCGAAAGGAACGCUGAUACCGCAUACGUCCUACGGGAGAAAGCAGGGGACCUUCGGGCCUUGCGCUAGCAGAUGAGCCUAGGUCGGAUUAGCUAGUUGGUGGGGUAAUGGCUCACCAAGGCGACGAUCCGUAACUGGUCUGAGAGGAUGAUCAGUCACACUGGAACUGAGACACGGUCCAGACUCCUACGGGAGGCAGCAGUGGGGAAUAUUGGACAAUGGGCGAAAGCCUGAUCCAGCCAUGCCGCGUGUGUGAAGAAGGUCUUCGGAUUGUAAAGCACUUUAAGUUGGGAGGAAGGGCAGUAAGCUAAUACCUUGCUGUUUUGACGUUACCGACAGAAUAAGCACCGGCUAACUCUGUGCCAGCCGCCGCAGUAACAC
rnacentral:rRNA from 1 species